GAGAAAGGACGGUACCCUUGGAAUAAGCGUCGGCUAACUACGUGCCAGCAGCCGCGGUAAUACGGAGGAUGCUAGCGUUAUCCGGAUUUAUUGGGUUUAAAGGGUGCGUAGGCUGGCGGAUAAGUCAGUGGUGAAAUCCUGCAGCUUAACUGUAGAAUUGCCAUUGAUACUGUUCGUCUUGAGUUCGGUUGAGGUAGGCGGAAUGUGUAAUGUAGCGGUGAAAUGCUUAGAUAUUACACAGAACACCGAUUGCGUAGGCAGCUUACUAAGCCGUUACUGACGCUGAGGCACGAAAGCGUGGGGAGCGAACAGGAUUAGAUACCCUGGUAGUCCACGCCGUAAACGAUGAUCACUAGCUGUUGGCGAUACAUUGUCAGCGGCAAAGCGAAAGCAUUAAGUGAUCCACCUGGGGAGUACGGCCGCAAGGUUGAAACUCAAAGGAAUUGACGGGGGCCCGCACAAGCGGUGGAACAUGUGGUUUAAUUCGAUGAUACGCGAGGAACCUUACCUGGGCUUAAAUGUUGGGUGCAUUCCCGGGAAACCGGGAUUCCCUUCGGGGCUUCCAACAAGGUGCUGCAUGGUUGUCGUCAGCUCGUGCCGUGAGGUGUCGGGUUAAGUCCCAUAACGAGCGCAACCCCUAUCGUUAGUUGCCAUCGGGUCAUGCCGGGGACUCUAGCGAAACUGCCGGUGUAAACCGCGAGGAAGGUGGGGAUGACGUCAAAUCAGCACGGCCCUUAUGUCCAGGGCUACACACGUGUUACAAUGGCCGGUACAGAGGGCAGCUACCUGGUGACAGGGUGCAAAUCUCGAAAGCCGGUCCUAGUUCGGAUUGGAGUCUGCAACUCGACUUCAUGAAGCUGGAAUCGCUAGUAAUCGCGCAUCAGCCAUGGCGCGGUGAAUACGUUCCCGGGCCUUGUACACACCGCCCGUCAAGCCAUGGAAGCCGGGGGUACCUGAAGUCUGCAACCGCGAGGAGCGGCAUAGGGUAAAACUGUAACUGGGGCUA
rnacentral:rRNA from 1 species